rnacentral:rRNA from 1 species
UACAGAGGUCCCAAGCGUUGUUCGGAUUCACUGGGCGUAAAGGGUGCGUAGGUGGUUCUGCAAGUCUGAUGUGAAAUCUCCGGGCUUAACCCGGAAAUGGCAUUGGAAACUGCAGGGCUGGAGUGUUGGAGGGGGGACUGGAAUUCUCGGUGUAGCAGUGAAAUGCGUAGAUAUCAAGUGGAACACCAGUGGCGAAGGCGAGUCUCUGGACAUUUCCUGACGCUGAGGCACGAAAGCCAGGGGAGCAAACGGG